rnacentral:tRNA from 1 species
UGGAAUGUAGCUUAGUGGGAAAGCACACGACUUUUAAUCGUGAUAACGUGGGUUCAAACCCCACCAUUCCAA